rnacentral:rRNA from 1 species
CAAUAGCGUAUAUUUAAGUUGUUGCAGUUAAAAAGCUCGUAGUUGGAUUUCGGUUAAGAGCGACCGGUCCGCCGUUUGGUGUGCACUGGUUGGUUUUAACUUCUUGUAGAGGACGUGCUCUGGGUUUAACGACCUGGACUCGGAGUCUACGUGGUUACUUUGAAAAAAUUAGAGUGUUCAAAGCGGGCUUACGCUUGAAUAUUUCAGCAUGGAAUAACACUAUAGGACUCCUGUCCUAUUUCGUUGGUCUCGGGACGGGAGUAAUGAUUAAGAGGAACAGUUGGGGGCAUUCGUAUUUCAUUGUCAGAGGUGAAAUUCUUGGAUUUAUGAAAGACGAACUUCUGCGAAAGCAUUUGCCAAGGAUGUUUUCAUUAA